AUCAUCUUUCUCACCAAGGCCUUCUGAUGCCAGCUAAAUGAUGGCAUGCGUGAGCCUGGGAACUGAUGAACAAAUGAUAUUUUUAACUAUCCAAAAUCAGGAAGAAUGGGUUUUGUAUCACAUUCUCGAGCAAGUUUCAAUCUUGCUAUGCUAUGUUGCGAAAUGAUGAAUACUAUUACCUUAAGUGGUUGGAUAGAACCUGGGGUUUAGGUAAUUAAUUAUUGUUAUUGGUAAUGUAAUUACCUCCCUAACUUUAUAAACAAAUAAUUUGGGUUGUUGUUCUCAAA
rnacentral:misc_RNA from 1 species